ACUACAUUGUAAAUGACUCAUACUAAAAACAAAAAAAAUUACAAUGUAGUAAGCACAUUGUAAAGCCAAUGUAAGUUAGUUCCCUAAACUGCCAAGAGAGGGCAGAUCGGUAAUUGAUUGACCAAUCAGCAGUCAGCCUCCUAGACGUAACAGCCAAUGGAAAGUCACAGAUCUCAGCUGAUUUAUCACCUCGCUCUACCAAAAGUAAACAAUGCCAUGGAAGGUCCUACUCAAAAGAAAAGAAGGCCAAAUUUCCCAGAUGAAUAGAUGUUGGCUCUAAUAGAAGCUGUGGUCUAGAGGAGGAGUGUGGUUCUGGGGAAAAUAGACCACAAAAUUUACCGGACAAGUGAUAAAUAACGCCUGGGAGUGUGUGACUUAGUGAGGUGAAUCUUGUCGCUCGCGUUCCGAGGACUGUGGCUGAAACGCGUAGGAAGUUGACAGAUCUCAGAGCAGCCGUGAAAAAGAGAAACACAAGAGAAGUAAUACAUGGUAGAAACAGAUGGUGGCCCAGCAGUUCUUACAAACUACACAGCAGUUGAAGAAGCUAUGCUAGCUCUGAUUGAGGCUUUUAUUAUUUCUGGCUUACCAGGGUCUAUGAAAAUGAGACAGAGGUAGAUGAUGUUGAAGAACCAACCCCUAGGCCAUCUGGGAUAGCAUCUCAACCCAAAUGGAUUCUGAAGUUAUUUUAACAAUGGAUGAGAACACUUUGGAGGAGCAAGAAGUUACAGUACCCAUUGUAACAAUGUACUACACAUACUCUGCGGAAUUACCCCAUUUCUUCACAGAAGAGUAACUAUGAAGAUAGAUUUAGCCGAGACAGUGCAAUGGUCCAAGAGAGAGAGACCUUUCAAGAACUGAGCAGGUCAAGCUUUAAUCUUUCUGAUGCUGUCAUAUAAGAUUUUGGUUUAUUUGUUACUGAGACAGAGCAAUAUUUAAUUUAGAUUUUUCCUUCUUUAAAUUCUGUAGAGUUCAGGAGAAAGCAAAUUUUAAUUCUAUUCUAAUAUUCAUUCAAAAUAGUUACAUGGUUUCAGGGACAGCUUUAUUUUAAUUAUGUUAUUAUAUUCCUUUAAUUGCAUUAUAUUCUUUUAUUUGCAUAUUUUUAUGCAUAAAACUUAUGUUAUUUGUGCAAUAUACAUAAUUUGCCCCCAAAGGUUUUUAUUGAUUUUGUUUCAAAGGCAGUAGCUGUCUUGUGGUCAUAAGGCAAUAUGAAAAGUGUCAGUACAUUUUGUUUUUGUUUUUUUUAUUAUUUUUUUAUUUUAUUUAUUUUUUUUUUUUACACUACUUUUGUAAUAUAUAUUUACUGUAUGUAUCUUACCAGUUUUAUUGUUUUAUAAUCACAGGUCUGAAAUAAAGUUG